rnacentral:rRNA from 1 species
CGGACGGGUGAGUAAUGUCUGGGAAACUGCCUGAUGGAGGGGGAUAACUACUGGAAACGGUAGCUAAUACCGCAUAACGUCGCAAGACCAAAGAGGGGGACCUUCGGGCCUCUUGCCACCGGAUGUGCCCAGAUGGGAUUAGCUAGUAGGUGGGGUAACGGCUCACCUAGGCGACGAUCCCUAGCUGGUCUGAGAGGAUGGCCAGCCACACUGGAACUGAGACACGGUCCAG